GCUGGAGCCGGGGACGCCGAGCGACUGCGGGGCUUCCGUCAGCGUCCUGCUAUCCGGCUGCCCGCCGUGCUCCCUGGUAGUGUCCGUGGACGCGCAGGCCUCGAAGAACCUCCUCGCGGUGGGCCCCCGAGCGCAGGAGAGGUGUCAAAGCGCCGGCGCGUCUCCAGAGCCGCGGGAGGAAGGCUGUAACGGCAGCCCCAUCGUAGACAGGCACAUUCGCAUCCUGAGCCCUGGAUCUCUGAAAAGCAGACCAGAAUUUGGAAGCUGGAAGGAACCUUAGAUCGUCCAUUCUGGGUGUCUCUCUUCGCUGGCGUUUUCCAACGAGAGGAACCUACAAGUGUCAAGGAAAAAAGAACAGCUAACCACAGGGCAGGCCACGGGCAAGAUAUCUCAGUGUUCUCCGCUCUCAGGUCAGGAAUGCAAAAUGAUACAGCAACUUUGGAAGACAGUUUGGCUUUCUUACAAAACUGAACAUACUCCUAUCAGAAGAUCCAGCCAUUGCACUUCUUAGUGUUUACCCAAAUGAGCUGAAAACUUAUGUCCACACAGAAACCUACACGUGGAUGUUUACAGCAGCUUUAUUUGUAAUUGCCAAAACUUGAAAGCAACCUGGAUGUCCUUUAGCAGUGUUGGAGUUGAAGCCUGGUGGGAGGUGA